UACGUAGGGUGCGAGCGUUGCCCGGAUUUAUUGGGCGUAAAGGGCGCGUAGGCGGUGCGGUAAGUCACCUGUGAAAACUCUGGGCUCAACUCAGAGCCUGCAGGCGAAACUGCCGUGCUUGAGUGUGGGAGAGGUGCGUGGAAUUCCCGGUGUAGCGGUGAAAUGCGUAGAUAUUGGGAAGAACACCGGUGGCGAAGGCGGCGACCUGGUCCGUUACUGACGCUGAGGCGCGACAGCGUGGGGAGCAAACAGG
rnacentral:rRNA from 1 species